GAUGAACGCUGGCGGCGUGCCUAAUACAUGCAAGUCGUACGGAAAGGCCCUUCGGGGUACUCGAGUGGCGGACGGCUGAGUAACGCGUGGGAACGUGCCCCAAAGUGAGGGAUAAGCACCGGAAACGGUGUCUAAUACCGCAUAUGGUCUUCGGAUUAAAGAAUUUAUUCGCUUUGGGAGCGGCCCGCGUCGGAUUAGAUAGUUGGUGAGGUAAAGGCUCACCAAGUCGACGAUCCGUAGCUGGUCUGAGAGGAUGAUCAGCCAGACUGGGACUGAGACACGGCCCAGACUCCUACGGGAGGCAGCAGUAAGGAAUCUUCCACAAUGGGGGCAACCCUGAUGGAGCAACGCCGCGUGCAGGAUGAAGGCCUUCGGGUCGUAAACUGCUUUUAUUUGUGAAGAAUAUGACGGUAACAAAUGAAUAAGGAUCGGCUAACUACGUGCCAGCCGCCGCCGUAAUAC
rnacentral:rRNA from 1 species